UACGAAGGGGGCUAGCGUUGUUCGGAAUUACUGGGCGUAAAGCGCGCGCAGGCGGUUCUCCAAGUCAGUGGUGAAAGCCCGGAGCUCAACUCCGGAACUGCCAUUGAAACUGUUGAACUUGAGGACGAGAGAGGUGAGUGGAAUUCCCAGUGUAGAGGUGAAAUUCGUAGAUAUUGGGAAGAAACACCAGUGGCGAAGGCGGCUCACUGGCUCGGUUUCUGACGCUCAG
rnacentral:rRNA from 1 species